CUUUAAUAUAUGUCACUGAGUAAUGGUUACACAUGGAAACUUAAGAUAUAGGAAGGUUUUGAACAUUGAGCACUUUGUGGUCCUAUACUAUUGUCAUUGUUAGUAUUGCUGCUGUGGUAUUUUUAAUGAUAUUAUAUUCCAGAUGUAUUUGUCAAUCCUAUGGAAGAGAAACAACAAAAAGUAGAAUAACAGAAGAAAUGAACCAUAACAGAACGAAACGGAAUGAAACGCACACAAAUUAAAUGGUAGAACAAAAAACACAACACAAAUAAAAAUAACAGUCUAACAGUCGUGACUAUUCACAGUAAUCAUGUUGACUAACCAACAUGGUCACUUCCGACUAUUUCAAUCAGUCAUAUGGACUGCAUUCAAUUGUCAAACUGACAAAUGUGCAUAGUCAAUUGAACAAUCCAAUUCGUCAUAACGAGUAUGACAUAUAGUCAUUUUGACUUCCUAACAUAGUCAUAAUGACCACCC
rnacentral:lncRNA from 1 species